AACGAACGCUGGCGGCAGGCUUAACACAUGCAAGUCGAGCGCCCCGCAAGGGGAGCGGCAGACGGGUGAGUAACGCGUGGGAACCUACCCUUUUCUACGGAAUAACGCAUGGAAACGUGUGCUAAUACCGUAUACGCCCUACGGGGGAAAGAUUUAUCGGAGAAGGCAGGGCCCGCGUUGGAUUAGCUAGUUGGUGGGGUAAAGGCCUACCAAGGCGACGAUCCAUAGCUGGUCUGAGAGGAUGAUCAGCCACAUUGGGACUGAGACACGGCCCAAACUCCUACGGGAGGCAGCAGUGGGGAAUAUUGGACAAUGGGCGCAAGCCUGAUCCAGCCAUGCCGCGUGAGUGAUGAAGGCCCUAGGGUUGUAAAGCUCUUUCACCGGAGAAGAUAAUGACGGUAUCCGGAGAAGAAGCCCCGGCUAACUUCGUGCCAGCCGCCGCCGUAACAC
rnacentral:rRNA from 1 species